rnacentral:rRNA from 1 species
GGGGUGAAAGGCUAAUCAAACUUGGAGAUAGCUCGUACUCCCCGAAAUGCAUUUAGGUGCAGCCUUGUGGGUUACUGAUGUGAGGUAGAGCGACUGAUAAGAUGCGAGGGCUUCACCGCCUAUCAAGUCUUGACAAACUCCGAAUGCGUGUCAGUUCUAUGUCAGGAGUGAGGGCAUGGGUGCUAAGGUCCAUGUCCUAAAGGAGAACAAUCCGGACCAACAGCUAAGGUCCCAAAAUGAAUACUAAGUUGAACUAACGAAGUCAGAUUGCUAAGACAGCUAGGAUGUUGGCUUGGAAGCAGCCAUUCAUUUAAAGAGUGCGUAACAGCUCACUAGUCGAGGAGUUUGGCGUGGAUAAUAAUCGGGCAUCAAGCAAUUUACCGAAGCUAUGGGAUCAGUAAUGAUCGGUAGGGGAGCAUUCCACUCUGCGUCGAAGGUGAAGCGUGAGCUUUGCUGGAGCGUGUGGAAAAGCAAAUGUAGGUAUAAGUAACGAUAAAGGGGGUGAGAAACCCCCUCGCCGAAAGACUAAGGUUUCCUGAUCAACGCUAAUCGGAUCAGGGUUAGUCGGGUCCUAAGGCUCAGCCGAACGGCGAGGCCGAUGGCAGAACCGGUUAAUAUUCCGGUACUACCUCAAGGAGUGACGUGGAGACGGAGCAGUGACAGUGCCGCGGACUGACGGAAUAGUCCGUUAAAGGGUGUAGAUAUUGAUUCCUGCAGGCAAAUCCGCAGGAAGAGUCGAACCUGAUAGUAUGGAGCGUCCUUCGGGACAAUCCAAUAGUGCAUGUAAACAUACUCCCGAGAAAAUCCGCUAAACUUAAUCCUUGUGGUACCCGUACCGCAAACGGACACACGUAGUCGGGUUGAAUAUACUAAGGCGCUUGAGUGAUUCACGGUUAAGGAACUAGGCAAACUGACCCUGUAACUUCGGGAUAAAGGGUCCUCAGGGUGACUUGAGGCGCAGAGAAUCGGUCCAGGCAACUGUUUAACAAAAACACAGGGCUGUGCGAAAUAGAAAUAUGAAGUAUACAGCCUGACACCUGCCCGGUGCUGGAAGGUUAAGAGGAGAUGUCAUCGCAAGAGAAGCAUUGAAUUGAAGCCCCAGUAAACGGCGGCCGUAACUAUAACGGUCCUAAGGUAGCGAAAUUCCUUGUCGGGUAAGUUCCGACCUGCACGAAUGGUGUAAUGAUCUGGACGCUGUCUCAACCGUGAGCUCAGUGAAAUUGUAGUAUCGGUGAAGAUGCCGAUUACCCGCGAUGGGACGAAAAGACCCCGUGAACCUUUACUAUAGCUUAACAUUGAAUUUGGGUAAUUGAUGUGUAGGAUAGGCCGGAGGCUUCGAAGCAGGUACGCCAGUAUUUGUGGAGCCGCUGUUGAAAUACGGCCCUUUGAUUAUUUGAGUUCUAACUCGUUGAUGCGAGGACACUGUUUGGUGGGUAGUUUGACUGGGGUGGUCGCCUCCAAAAGCGUAACGGAGGCUUCUAAAGGUGCCCUCACGACGAUUGGUAACCGUCGGCAGAGUGUAAUGGCAUAAGGGCGCUUGACUGGGAGACUAACAAGUCGAUCAGGUAGGAAACUAGAGCAUAGUGAUCCGGUGUUUCUGUAUGGAAAGGACAUCGCUCAAAGGAUAAAAGGUACUCCGGGGAUAACAGGCUGAUCCCUCCCAAGAGCUCAUAUCGACGGAGGGGUUUGGCACCUCGAUGUCGGCUCGUCACAUCCUGGGGCUGGAGAAGGUCCCAAGGGUUGGGCUGUUCGCCCAUUAAAGUGGCACGCGAGCUGGGUUCAGAACGUCGUGAGACAGUUCGGUCUCUAUCUAUCGUGGGCGUAUGAAAUUUGCGUGGCUCUGACACUAGUACGAGAGGACCGUGUUGGAC